AAUGAACGUUGGCGGCGUGGAUUAGGCAUGCAAGUCGAGCGAGAAGUUUCCUUCGGGAAACGGAAAGCGGCGAAAGGGAGAGUAACGCGUGGAUCAUCUGCCCUCGGAUCCGGGAUAGCUGCGGGAAACUGCAGGUAAUACCGGAUAAAGUCUCCGGACCAAAGGUGAGAUUCCGUCCGAGGAUGAGUCCGCGUCCUAUUAGCUUGUUGGUGGGGUAACGGCCUACCAAGGCGAUGAUGGGUACUGGGUGUGAGAGCACGACCCAGCUCACUGGGACUGAGACACUGCCCAGACACCUACGGGUGGCUGCAGUCGAGAAUCUUCGGCAAUGGGCGCAAGCCUGACCGAGCGACGCCGCGUGCGGGAUGAAGGCCUUCGGGUUGUAAACCGCUGUCAGAGGGGAUGAAAGGUCAUGGGGUACUCUCCAUGAUUUGACAGAUCCUCAGAGGAAGUACGGGCUAAGUUCGUGCCAGCAGC
rnacentral:rRNA from 1 species